GAGUUUGAUCCUGGCUCAGAUUGAACGCUGGCGGCAGGCCUAACACAUGCAAGUCGAGCGGAUGAAGGGAGCUUGCUCCUGGAUUCAGCGGCGGACGGGUGAGUAAUGCCUAGGAAUCUGCCUGGGUAGUGGGGGAUAACGUCCGGAAACGGGCGCUAAUACCGCAUACGUCCUGAGGGAGAAAGUGGGGGAUCUUCGGACCUCACGCUAUCAGAUGAGCCUAGGUCGGAUUAGCUAGUU
rnacentral:rRNA from 1 species